rnacentral:misc_RNA from 1 species
UGCAUAAAGACCAGGC